AUGAAAUUUCAGGAAUGUGCUCGACCGAACACCCAUCGUUCCCUCUCCCCCAUACCCUACCCUCGAUUAGUUCUUCCUAUUAGUCAUGGGAAUGUUCGCCGCGAUUUUGAGUCUUCAUUUUGUUCGAUCGUAACUGCAAAACUCAAAUUAGUUCUCAGAUCAAUCGGUGCUGUAAAUCUGAUAUUAACGAAACCCAAUUGGGGAUGUCAAAAGUCAGGGAGGAAUUUUAAGAAUUUGUGGAGGAGCGAUGGGGUUUACAUUAAACAAAUCUUCUGUUAAAUUGUUGAAGAAUGGUUGAAAACGUAACAAAGUUUCUUAGCUCCAUCCGGGAUUGCUUUGCACGACUGACUACCAUGUUCCCUUUGUAAGUUUCGAUUUACAUCUUUUUAACACAUGAUUUCCAUCAAAUUUAGUUUUUUCGUUUUGCACAUUACCAGUGUGCACCCUCAUUUCCGGGUCGGUGUUACGGCGUCGCUGUUGGACUUCUAAGCAGUAUUAGUGUGUUUAUAAGCUGUUGGUGUUUUUAUGUAAGAUGUUGAGACCGAAGCAGUUGAUUCAGUGGGAAGAAGGGAAACAUAGAUAAAUACUCAUCUAACGGUUAACCAGACAUCGUUUUCUCCUUCCCUGCUUCGCAAGUAACGUCGCACCCUCAUAACAUGUACCCUAUGUAGUUUUAUAUUCUCUUUCACAUCAAAUUUGUUGGGUUUUGUUUUCGUUAUUUUCUCAUCAGCUCCCUAACGAUGGGUUUUGUUCUCUGCAAAAUUUAGUGCAUGCCCACUUUAAGAAGACCCAUUCUAAUAUCCGUUCUAAUAAUCCUCAGUAAAGUGACCAGUAGAUCUUACUAUCCAUAUCUUGCUCUGUGUGAAGUGUAAAAUCUUAAUUUUAGUUGGUACGUCACAACCAUAUAUUCCAUGUCUUUCUUUGGCUUCAAAUGUUCAUGCCUUCUUAGGUGACCCUUUCCAUUGAGAAUUUGUUGUUUCCACUGACUUUUCGAGAGAGAUGCUGGGGAAAAUUGAUGCAUAUUAAUCUGUGGAGAAAGACUUUGUCAGAUUGAUUUAUUUCUUUGCUAUCUGAAAGACGAGCAAUCCGUGAAUUCUCAUCUUAUGCAGUGAUCAUCUACAGAGAGAGAUAAGAAAAGGGUUUAGGCAUGGUUUCUCAAAUAUAACUUGCGGGAAAGAGUUUGCACAUUGCUGUGACAUUUUUUUGAGGCUUGAGCUGUUAUCGCAUCAUUAUAAGUGGACCUUAUUAUCACUGCAUCAUUCUAUCCAUGAAUUUCUCCAGGUAACAUCUUGAUGAGAGUUGAAUUAAAAAUACGUUGUUGUGGUGUUGAGAAAGUUCAAAUGAAAAUCAUUAGCAUUUGACAUCUCCGUCGUUGCAAGAAGGCUUUCCUCCCUGUCAACUUCAUAAGGUGGACCAGGUAGAAGGAAACUUUAGCUUUGGUGUGCUGCAUAAAAAUAUGGUGCUGGAUCAAGCUGGAGAAAUGGUAGUGGAGUCGUUACACAGACCGGUUUGGAUUAGGUGGUUGCUUCCUAAAGUAUCUUUUAUAGCAUGUUUAGUUUAUCGACGCUUCAGCAUAUUUAAUCUAUGAUUCCUAUGGAAGUGAGAUACAUUGUCGGCUUUCUUCGAUUAUUUGGAAUUUCUUCAUUUAGUCUUUGCCAUUAACUGGGUGCUUCGGAGGGAUGUUCAAACUCAGUUGGAAGGCUGGAGCUACAUUAAUUUCCAAAAUGAUGGAUCAGUUGGUUCAAAGGUUACGCGUGUAGUAAUUUGGGAGCUAUGGGAAGAACCCAAGGACCCAGUGCUAGAUCCCGUUGGCAGGGGAAGCAAGAACAAGGAUUGCCAAUACAACCGUUUCUUAUGCUCUGUUGCUCUGAUGAAGACUUAUUUAGGGAUACUCACUUCCGCAAAAAAAAAUAAAAAAAUAAACAAAAUACGUAAGAAACUGGGAUGAUGUAAUCUUUUAUAUUGUAACUGAAGAGUGCAUAAAUUAUUUUAUGGAAAUUACAUCCAAAAUCA